GCGGGCGUGGCGGAAUGGUAGACGCACCGGACUUAAAAUCCGUUGGGCCGCAAGGCCCGUGGGGGUUCAAGUCCCCCCGCCCGUACCA
rnacentral:tRNA from 5 species